UGGUCUCAAUAAAUAAAUAAAUAAAUAAAUGUAACAUACACUUACCACAUGACCCAGCAAUCCCAUUUUUAGGUGUUUAACCAGGAGAAAUGAAAAUUUGUAUUCAAACAAAAGUCGGUUCACAAAUAUUUAUGGUCAGUUUAUUUAUAAUUGCCCCAAAGUACAAACAAGUCAAAUGCACUUCAACUACAGAAUGGAUAAAUUGGUACAUCCAUACAGUAGACUACUAUUCAGCAGUUAAAAAAAAAGCCGUUGAGAUACUCAACAACAUGAAUGAAUCUCAAAGGCAUUAUGCUAAGUGGAAGAAGACAGACUCAAAAUGCUAUGUGCUCCAUGAUUACAGGAGAUGUGAGGUGGGGGUAAGACUUGACUACAAUAGGGCAGUGUGCAAUUUUGGGGAAUGAUGGAACCCUUUUAUAUCUUGAUUGUGAUGAUGUCUACCUAAAGGUAUGCAUUCUGCCAGACUCACAAAACUGUACACAAAGACUAGUCAAUUUCACUGUAUGCAAAUUGUAGCUCAAUAAACCAGACUGGAAAAGUUGAACCAUAAACAUUGUAUAUAACUGGUAUCAUAUUGUAUGUAUCCUUCUGCAACCUGCUUUUUUUGCUCACUACUAAUGACUUUUGAGGUUUAUCCAAGUUGAUACUACGUAGACUAUAAUGAUAUAUGUAGCUUUUCUUUCUUUAUUUUAACUGCUACAACAUAUUCCAUUAUACAUUAUACUUUGUUUAUCCAGUCUCCUGUUGGUGAACAUUUACUUUGUUUCUGUUUUUUUCUCUUGUUUUAAACAAUGUUGCAAUAAACAUUCCUGUAAAUGUAUUCUAUAGCACUAGUGCUGGAAUCUCUCUGCAAGAUAUUUACGUAGAAUAGUAUGUGGAAUGGUUGGGAUAAGAGGGUGGUGAAUAUCUCUGUUUUGCUCUCCAAGGGCUUAUACCAACUGACACUCUACCAGCAUGUGUCAGAAUCUCCUUUUUCUACACACCCAUCAAUAAUUGGGAUUAUCAGACUUUAGCUUUUGCUUAGCUGAUAAAUGUAAAAUGAUAUAUUGUUGCUGCUUUAUUUUUACAAUUUCUCUGAUUGUCAUUGUGGUUGAACAUCUAUUCAUGUUUGUGGGUCAUUUGGGUUUUCCUUCUGUGAAUUGCCUGUUCAUAUUCUUUGCCUGUUUUUUUUUUUUUUUUUUAAUUGUCUUCCCUUCCAUUCCCUUCCCCUUCCCCUUCCUCUCCCCCUUCCCCUCCCCUCCCCUUCCCUUCUCUUCUCUUUUUUCCUUCUUCACAGAUUGUUGCCCAGGCUGGUGAGCAGUGGCGUGAUCUUGGCUCACUGCAACCUUGGCCUCCAAGGUUCAAGUGAUUAUCCUGCCUCAGCCUCCCAAGCAGCUGGGAUUACAAGCGCACACCACCAUGCCUGGCUAAUUUUUUUUUUUUUUCAUUUUUAGUAGAGGCAGGGUUUCAUGAUGUUGGUCAGGAUAAUCUCAAACUCCUGACCUCUGCUGAUCUGCCCACAUCGGCCUCCCAAAGUGCUGGGAUUAUAGGCAUGAGCCACCACACCUGGCCUAGUAACUUUUAAGAUUUCCAUCCUGAGGUUGGGCGCAGUAGCUCAGGCCUGUAGUCCCAGCACUCCAGGAGGCCGAGGCAGGCUGAUCACUUCACUUCGGGAGUUUGAGACCAGCCUGACCAACAUGGAGAAACCCUGUCUCUACUAAAAAAAUACAAAAAAAAAAAAAAAAAAAAAAAAAAAAAGCCAGGCGUGGUGGUGCAUGCCUGUAAUCCCAACUACUCGGGAGGCUGAGGCAGGAGAACUACUUGAACCCGGGAGGUGGAGGUUGUAGUGAGCUGAGAUGGCGCCAUUGCACUCCAGCCUGGGCAACAAGAGUGAAACUCCAUCUCCAAAAAAAAAAAAAAAAAAAAAAAAACCACCAACAACAAUAAAGAUUUCCAUCCUGGGCAACAUAGCAAGAUCCCAUCUCUAAAAAAAUACAAAUAUUAGCUAGGCAUGGUGGUGCCUGCUUGCAGGCUUGUAGUCCCAGUUACUUGGGAGAAUUGCUUGAGCCCAGGAGUUUGAGGCUACAGUGAGCUAUGAUUGCACCACUGCACUCCAGCCUGGGUGACAGAGUGAGACCCUAUCUCAAAAAAAGAAAAAAAAAGAAAAAAAAUUCCUCUUUAUCCUUGAUGUUAAGUGGUUUAAUAAUGAUAGAACCCUAUAUAGACAUAUUAAUUUAUGCUGUUUGUUCUUAGAGUAUGUUUUUGAUUUGAGGACUUGUAUGACUCUUUAGUUCUUUUUUCUUUCUUUUCCUUUUUUUUUUUUUUUUUUUUUUUGAGAUGGAGUCUUGCUCUGUCAUCCAGUCUGGAGUGCAGUGGCACAAUAUUGGCUCACUGCAACCUCUGCCUCCCGGGUUCAAGUGAUUCUCCUGCCUUAGCCUCCUGAGUAGGUGGGACUACAGGUGCACGCCACCACGCCAGGCUAAUUUUUGUAUUUUUAGUAGAGACGAGGUUUCACCAUAUUGGCCAGGCUGGUCUGGAACUCCUGACCUCAGUUGAUCCACUUGCUUCAGCCUCCCAAAGUGCUGGGUUUAUAGGCAUGAGCCAAAACGCCCAGCCUAGUUUUUGAAAAUUCUCAUUGAUUGUCCAUCAUAUAUUGCUUCUCUGUGAUUUUCUGCUGUUUUUCUAAAACUUCCAUUAGCCCUAUGUUGCAGUCCCUCCAUCUUUCUCCCAUUUCUCAUAAUUGCUCUUUUGUGAAUUUCAUCUUUGGCUCCUAGUGCUCUUGUGUUGGUCUGGACCCUUCUAGUAACAGAACGGCCAUAUGAAUGGAGGUCCAUGCAGGGUUUCUCUCUCUCUCUUUUUAGAGACAAGGUCUUUUCUUUUUUUUCUUGCUUCAUUGUCUAUGCUGGAGUGCAGUGGUGCAAUCUUGGCUCACUGCAACCUCUGCCUCCCAGGUUCAAGCAAUUCUCCCGCCUCAGCCUCCCAAGUAGCUGGGAUUACAGGUGCAUGCCACCACACCCGGCUAAUUUUUGUAUUUUUAGUAAAGAUGGAGUUUCACAAUGUUGGCCAGGCUGGUCUCGAACUUCUGACCUCAGGUGAUCUGUCUGCCUUAGCCUCCCAAAGUGCUGGGAUUACAGGUGUGAGCCACUGCACCUGGCCUAGAGACAGGGUCUUGCUCUGUUGUCCAGGUUGGAGUGCAGUGGUGCAAUCCUAGCUCACUGCAACCCCCAACUCCUGACUUCAAGAGAUCAUUUCUCCUCAGUCUUCAGAGUAGCUGGGACCACAGGUGUGUGCUACCAUGCCUGGCUAAGGUUUCUGUCAAAAGUGACAUUGAGAUCUGAAGGGUGGUGAAAUGUCAUUUAGGAACAGGGGAAGUUAGGGCUGGGGGAGUCCUCCAGGCAAUAGAAACAGGAUUUAUGAAGAUGAGAUGGUGCCUGACACAAAGGGCUUGGAUGGGUGCAGAUUGGAAGCCACCAGAAGGCUCUAGCCCAAGAGAAGACUGGAUACAUUGGCAGAUUCUUCUGGCUGCCUUGUGGAGUAGAGGACAGGAGGAGGUCAAGGGCAGGGGUGGGGAAUCCAGCCUGGAAGUGACUGCAGCCUAGCUGAGAGAGCCGUGGUGGCCAGGACCAGUGAGGCAGCAGCGUGGAUGGAGAGAGAGGAGGGAUGCAGAGAUGUUUAGGACAUGAGCUGGCCGGUGAUGGAUAGCAUGGGGUAGGCUGGUGGUGGUGAGGGGGUCCAGGGUCCAGCUGCCACUAGGAGGGUGGGUAGGUUUGGGGACAACCCCUUGUCUUUCUGAUCCUUGUUCAGGUGAGAUCCCCCUGCACAAAUUUCACCUGCUGUUUUUUUUUUCCUGAGCCAUUUCAGACUGCCUCCUGGGGAUGAGGUCUGCAUGAUUUUAUUUCUUUAUUUAUUUAUUUAUUUAGACAGAGUCUUGCUCUGUUACCCAGGCUGCAGUGCAGUGGUGUGAUCUCGGCUCACUGCAACCUCCGCCUCCUGGGUUCAAGCGAUCCUCCUGAUUCAGCCUCCUGAGUAGCUGGGAUUACAGGCAUGCGCCACCACAUCUGGUUAAUUUUUGUAUUUUUAGUAGAGACAGGGUUUCACCAUGUUGGCCAGGCUGGUCUUGAACUCCUGGCCUCAAGUGAUCCACCUGCCUUGGCCUCCUAAAGUGCUGGGAUUAUAGGCAUGAGCCUCUGUCUACGGAAUCUUGUAGCCUACAAAAUCUUCUGGCCUCUGUCUGCAGAAUCUUGUCUGUACCCCGUGCUAGCCUCUCCUCUGACCCACUGGGAGUGUUAAGUCCAUUCUUCUGGACUUUUGCUCCAGCUGUGAUGAAUACUAUGCUUCUACCUCAGUCCUGAGCCUGGACCCAGCUGUGCAAGCCUGGCCAGACCCCUCUCCCAGGGCUGAACACCAAUUUCAAGUCUUCAGGUCCUACUGCAAUCUAAACAGGCUAUCCAGAAGAGAAUCCUGCACCAGUCCAAGUGUGAGCAGGCCUGGAGACUCUGCUGCUGAACUGCACCCCCUGAUGGCCAGCCUGGAUGUCACUUCUAUCCUGCUUGAGCCAGGCUCCCCGGAUCCCUGGACCACCUCCACUCCAGACCAGACAAUGGGGAAGCUGCUGGUCCCACACCAUUUCUGAGUUUUCUCCUCUAUCCUUCUGCUUAAAGUUCCCUCCAAGGACUUAAGUGCAAGUCAUCCCAGAAACCCAGGUAGGGGAGUAGAGAGGCCAGAUAUGGACAGGAAGGCUGCCAAGAAAGGGGUGUUAGUCAGGCACAAUGGCUCAGGUCUGUAAGCCCAGAACUUUGGGAGGCUGAGGCCGGAAGAUUGCUUGAACCUAGGAGGACUGCUUGAGACCAGCCUGGGCAACACGGCGAAACCCUAUCUCUACAAAAAAACAAAAAAACAAAAAAACCCCACAAAAAUUAGCUGGACGUGGUUGUGUGCACCUGUAGUCCCAGCAGAGGGACUCUUGAGGCAGAGGUUGUAGUAAGCCCAGAUCGCACCAUUGCACUCCAGCCAGAGAGAGAGAGAGAGAGAGAGAGAGAGAGAGAGAGAGAGGGAGAGAGAGAGAGAGAGAGAGAAAGGAAAUGGCCAGGCGCAGUGGCUCAUGCCUGUAAUCCCAGCACUUUGGGAAGCUGAGGUGGGCAGAUCACUUGAGGUCAGGAGUUCGAGACCAGCCUG
rnacentral:lncRNA from 1 species